UCCCCUUCCAUAAUUGCCACAAAAUGAAAGCAGGAAGUGCUUCAUAGAUAGGCUUUAAUUUAGUUGAGCAGUUUGUUGUCCACCACUUUUGCACAAUUUGAUAAACUUGAAGGAAAAGGUGUAUGUAGUCCUACACCAACUGCAAAACUUGUCCAGACUCUAGCUGUAAAGCUGCAUGUAAUAAAUAGAUUAUUAGUAGUCUCCUGGUAUGACCCUGUGCAACAACAACAUUUGGAAACCAUAGCAAAUCUCAUCCUUGCUAGUAGAUCAUCUAUUGGAAUCCUCUUCUUCCACGGUCUCCAUGUGAAAAAGGAUACUUACAAUCAAAUAUCAUUAAAGUGUUGUUGCUUU
rnacentral:lncRNA from 1 species